rnacentral:lncRNA from 1 species
AAGGAAAUCUUUCCAUAUCACCCAGGCUGAUCUUCAACGAACUGGACUCAAGUAUUCCUCCCACCUCGGCCUCCAGGGGGGACUGUUUGACGCCAGAGUGGAGACGGUCAGGCAGCCACUCGGGCCUUGGAAGCAAAGUCAAAAGUUGAAUGUACAGCUGGUAUAAAAAUGGUGCUUUGUCGUCAUGAAGAAGGUGUAUUCUGGGAUCAAACCACCUGGCUGGAGAUGCUUACUAACCUCAGUUUCUUCAUCUGACCUUACCUUUCUAAAAGAAUAAGAAGAAGAUGAUACAUAUUCCUCUAAAGUCCCAACAGGAACCUUUUCCCCUCACUCCCUCCCCAGAGAUGUGUAUCAUUUCCAUGAGUGUCUGUACUUUUACAACAUGUGCAUAUUAAUAAACAAAAUAUGACAAAUUAUUUUGUCUUAAUAUUUGCAUAAAUCUAGCCAUACUCUACACCACUUUUGCAACUUUCACUAUUAUAUAUUUUGAAGAUUAUCCGUGUUUAUGCACAUAAGUUUAUCAUUUUAACUGUUGAAUAGUGUUUCAUUAUAUGAAUUAACCAUAAUUCAUCUAUUUCCCUGAGUGACAAUUAGGUUUCUUUUUGUUUUUAUGCUCUGAUGAACAAUCUUGCAAUUAUUAUCUUUGUAUAUGUCUUCAUGUAUAAGAAAUUCUCCAGGGUAGACACUUAGAAGUAAAGGGUCUGACUCAGAGAGUCUGUGUAUUUUAAAAUGUAUUGGUUAUUGUCAAAUUGUUCCUCAAAGUAGAU